rnacentral:rRNA from 1 species
UACGUAGGGACCAAGCGUUGUCCGGAAUCAUUGGGCGUAAAGAGCGUGUAGGCGGCUUGUUAAGUCUUGCGUGAAAUCUCGGGGCUCAACCCCGAGCGGUCGUGAGAAACUGGCAGGCUAGAGUGCGGGAGAGGAGAGUGGAAUUCCUGGUGUAGCGGUGAAAUGCGCAGAUAUCAGGAGGAACACCAAUGGCGAAGGCAGCUCGCUGGGACGGUACUGACGCUGAGACGCGAAAGCGUGGGGAGCAAACAGG